rnacentral:tRNA from 2 species
UCCCUGGUGGUCCAGUGGCUAAGACUUUGCGCUUCCAACGCAGAGGGCCUGGGUUCGAUGCCUGGUCAGGGAA